rnacentral:tRNA from 1 species
GAGGGUAUAGCUCAGUGGUAGAGCGCUUGCUUUGCGUGCACAAGGUCUUGGGUUCAAUCCCCAGUACUUCCA